AAUCUAUUGACAAAAAAUACAGAAACCCUACCAGACAUUUCUAUUCACCUCUUAUGUGUUAUUUCUUGUUCUAAUCUCGUCCUUUGCUGAUUGUUCUCAAAGAUGAUUGUCAGUUAUUUUCCUGGGGCUGGAAUAAAUAUGGCCAGCUUGGUCUUGGAGAUUCAAUUGAUCGCAACAUACCAUCUAAGGUAUCCAUCGAUGGAUGUUUACCACGAAAUAUUGUUUGUGGUUGGUGGUACAUGCUAAUGUUGGCUGAAGCUGAACCAUCAAAGUAAUUGUGGAAAUAUAUGUCAAUAUGAAAGGGAAUAACUGUUUUGCUAUAUAUCACGUGGUUAAUGUUUUAGUGCUUCCUGAACAUCAUUUGUUUGUUUAGACUCGUUAUUUGAGUAGGAGAAGAUAUUAAACUUGAAUCCUCAGUUUUGCCUUGUUCAAUUAGGAGAUGUAGUCAGGUAUCCUCAGUUUGUUUGGUGUCGAGAAGCAUUUUUUUUUUUUACCUACCAUUUCUGUCUAGUAUACUGGUGCUAAAUUGAUAAGAGAAUACUAAAUAUUAAGAUUGACAGUCAAUGUCUUUGUUCACAGUUUAA